rnacentral:rRNA from 1 species
UACGGAGGGGGCGAGCGUUAUUCGGAAUCACUGGGCGUAAAGCGCGCGUAGGCUGUUUGGCAAGUUGGAAGUGAAAGCCCAGGGCUCAACCCUGGAAUUGCUUUCAAAACUGCCAGACUCGAGUCCGGGAGAGGAUAGCGGAAUUUCCAGUGUAGUAGUGAAAUACGUAGAUAUUGGAAGGAACACCAGUGGCGCAAGCGGCUAUCUGGACCGGUACUGACGCUGAGGCACGAAAGCGUGGGGAUCAAACAGG